UACAUGAACAGACGAAGUGACAAGAGA
rnacentral:piRNA from 1 species